rnacentral:lncRNA from 1 species
AUGUAUAUGUGUAUAUAUAUAUAUAUAUGUUCUCAGCUGAACGGUAAGAACAAGAUCCGGGCCAUCAACACCUACGCCCUGCCCGUGAUCAGGUACCCUGCUGGGGUAAUAGGCUGGCCAAAGGAGGAGAUAGAAGCCACUGACAUAAAGACAAGAAAGCUCCUUACCAUGCAUGGAGGGUUUCACCCCAAGUCCGCUAAGCGGAAGGAAGGGGGCCGGGGACUGGUGAGUGUCAGCACCACAGUCCAGGAUGAGACAAGAAACAUCCACGAAUACAUCACGAAGAUGGCCCCAACUGACAGCGUGCUCAGUGAAUACCUCAGGCAGCAGAAACCCAAGAAAGAGGAGGAAGGCGAGGAACCAUCAUGGAAGGACAGGCCCCUGCACGGUAUGUACCACCGGCAGAUAGAGGAGGUGGCUGAUAUCCAGAAAUCCUACCAGUGGCUGGACAAAGCUGGACUGAAAGACAGCACAGAGGCACUAAUUAUGGCAGCACAAGAACAAGCUCUGAAUACAAGAUCCAUAGAGGCUGGGGUCUAUCACACCAGGCAAGACCCCAGGUGCAGGCUGUGUAAAGAUGCCCCAGAGACAAUCCAGCACAUAACAGCAGGGUGCGAGAUGCUAGCAGGCAAGGCAUACAUGGAACGCCAUAACCAAGUGGCGGGCAUAGUGUACAGGAACAUCUGUGCCGAGUAUAACCUGGAAGUCCCGAGGUCAAAAUGGGAGAUGCCCCCAAGGGUGAUGGAGAAUGACCGAGCUAAGAUCCUGUGGGACUUCCAGAUACAGACGGACAAAAUGGUGGUGGUUAACCAACUGGACAUAGUGGUGGUAGACAAACAGAAGAAGACGGCUGUAGUGAUCGAUGUAGCGGUUCCGAAUGACAGCAAUAUCAGGAAAAAGGAACACGAGAAGCUGGAGAAAUACCAAGGGCUCAGAGAAGAGCUCGAGAGGAUGUGGAGGGUGAAGGUAACGGUGGUCCCCGUGGUAAUCGGAGCACUAGGUGCGGUGACUCCCAAGCUAGGCGAGUGGCUCCAGCAGAUCCCGGGAACAACAUCGGAGAUCUCUGUCCAGAAGAGCGCAGUCCUGGGAACAGCUAAGAUACUGCGCAGGACCCUCAAGCUCCCAGGCCUCUGGUAG